UACGUAGGGUGCAAGCGUUGUCCGGAAUCAUUGGGCGUAAAGAGCGUGUAGGCGGCCCGGUAAGUCCGCUGUGAAAGUCGGGGGCUCAACCCUCGAAUGCCGGUGGAUACUGUCGGGCUAGAGUGCGGAAGAGGCGAGUGGAAUUCCUGGUGUAGCGGUGAAAUGCGCAGAUAUCAGGAGGAACACCGAUGGCGAAGGCAGGUCUCUGGGCCAUAACUGACGCUGAGAAGCGAAAGCAUGGGGAGCGAACAGG
rnacentral:rRNA from 1 species